UGAACUUGGCAAUUAAAUCAAAUGUGCAGUCUAUGCGCGUGCGCAGAACUCCGACUCCUCCCACCAAGUUUUCAACCAGUUUGCAUCUGGAUCAGUUCAUCCAUUGGCUGGUUAAUUGUUUUGGCGCGAUUUACAUGAUCACGACAGCUUCUCGCGUCAUCUGAUUGGUUGAUUUGAGUCAGGUUCACGGGAUACUUUGGAUUCGAAAACUAUAUUCCCGCCCAGGAUUCUUCUCGUCUCUUCUUCAACGGCUGUUUUUAGAAGUCCUCCAAUCCACCAUCAGCGAGACCGAACUCCUCCAGUCCAGCUACAGAUAAGCUGCUGACCCAUUUCAGAGGAGGAACAUUGGCCAUGACCCAAAAGGACCACUAAAUCCUCAACUUUUUCUUGACACUUCUGCGGUGAGAAAAAUUCCCUAACAAAAAAAACGGUCAUAUCCAGAGAUGGCUUCAGCUUGCUCCGGAUUGGGAUGGAGGAAGAAGAGAACGGCUGAAGAGAAAGGAGAUGAUAAAUAGCUGUGCCUCUCAUUUAGAGCCUCAAUAGCUUAUGCGUGCGAACACAUACGAAAUACAUUCAUUUCCUUUUCAUGUGCACACACGCAGUUAUGUGUUAUGUUGUUUAUAAAGUUUAAUUUUGUCUUUCUUUGGUUUAUAACGUUUUCAUUUAGUCCGUAUUCGGUUUCAUUUUUUCAAGUGUUAAGGUACUGUUCAUUUAAAGUCUAAAGGUUUCCGUUUUACAUAAAAAUAUGUUCAACACAAUGUGUUCACUUUAUUUUUAUUUGUAAAUAAAAAAUGUUUAUUGAAAAACAA